GGGGAUGUAACUCAUAUGGUAGAGCACUCGCUUUGCAUGCGAGAGGCACAGGGUUCAAUUCCUUGCAUCUCUA
rnacentral:tRNA from 1 species